AUUGAACGCUGGCGGCAGGCCUAACACAUGCCAGUCGAGCGGUAGAGAGAAGCUUGCUUCUCUUGAGAGCGGCGGACGGGUGAGUAAUGCCUAGGAAUCUGCCUGGUAGUGGGGGAUAACGUUCGGAAACGGACGCUAAUACCGCAUACGUCCUACGGGAGAAAGCAGGGGACCUUCGGGCCUUGCGCUAUCAGAUGAGCCUAGGUCGGAUUAGCUAGUUGGUGGGGUAAUGGCUCACCGAGGCGACGAUCCGUAACUGGUCUGAGAGGAUGAUCAGUCACACUGGAACUGAGACACGGUCCAGACUCCUACGGGAGGCAGCAGUGGGGAAUAUUGGACAAUGGGCGAAAGCCUGAUCCAGCCAUGCCGCGUGUGUGAAGAAGGUCUUCGGAUUGUAAAGCACUUUAAGUUGGGAGGAAGGGCAGUAAAUUAAUACUUUGCUGUUUUGACGUUACCGACAGAAUAAGCACCGGCUAACUCUGUG
rnacentral:rRNA from 1 species